GCGGAAGUUACUCAGUGACACCGUGCGUGAUCGUUAGAAUAACGCGCGUGGACUCUUCAAAGGACUGCUAAGUCUUGCUAAAUAUAUCUCAUGGAAACUCAAGAUUUAGUUGCUGUCAGACCUUGAGGUUCAAUUCUAAAAAGGCACAUAUUCAAAGACAAGGGGAGUUUCUUUCUGGCUUAGAAACCUCCUGUCUCAGGCUCUGAAACCAUUUUAGCAGCGAGAUGACUCUGCAAGUUGGAACCAAAUAAAAGGGAGGUGACUCAUUCCGCUGUGAACUCACUGAAGUCGCCCACUAUAACCAGUAGGUGUGGGACGUAACUAAUACUCACCGUAUUCCUCGCUACUGUCAACGUUCGACAGGAAAGAAAAUCUCUCUUAAUUGGCCAUUCCAUUUUUUAAUUGGUUGAAGAUGUAAGAAAAGCUGUUAGAUGAGCUGUUGGGAAGAGCUCUAGUUAAGCUCUGCCUGGAACUAAGUCAUUGCAGACUGAAUCACAGGGGCAAAGCUCAGUCUUGGCCUUUGAGUCUUGAGCCUUCUGAGAUCAGUGCAUUUCAUCAGAGCUUUCCUUGGGGUGCAGGAAAGUGGCAGUCCGGACUCUCUUCUCUGGGGGGCUCCCAUGGCUGUGGGGUGCAGCGACCUGCUCAGGCAGUGACUCAGAUUGGCAGGGGGGGCCGAGGAGCACACAGCAGCACCAGCAGCUGAUGUUGAGAAAGCCCCAGCUCCUGCCUUUGACGUUUCUACCUAAUCUGUGCCUGCCUGUCUGCCCCCUGCGUGGCCUUCCUCUUGAUACCAAAGCAACACUGGACCGACUCUGAGCUGGCUGAGAGGGCGCUGCCCUCCUCUGCCUUCCUAGAACUACCGUCUCCCACCCUCACGUUCGCUGUGGCCGCACUGUGCACCUCCUCCUGGGACUCCUCUCUGAGGAACUCUCUCUCGUCCUCAUGCAGAGGGAGAAGCUGUGCAACCCUACUUUCUCUCUCCAGCCCUAGAGCGUCCUCACGCUACCCACAAACCCCUCAGCCAGCUUCCUCCGUCUCUCCCAGAUCCCUCCGCCCUUCCCUCCACUCUAGCCCACUCUCUGCGCCUCCCUGGCCGUGCUCGGCUUCCCGCGCUCUUCUCUCCACAGGGUCUCUCUUCCCCAAGCUUCCUAAUGUCUCCAGGCUGCUUUUUGCCCAUUUAUGAUACACCCUGAUUUUCUAUUACUUCUUUUCCUUCCAUGUUCCCAUAACACUUCAUUCAUGUUUCUAACAUAGCGCUCGUCACAACAUGUUGCCAAUGACGUGUCCGGAUCCUCCUGGUCCGGACUGAGGCCGCGUGGACCGCAGGGCCUGUCUUCACCAUUGACUCCCCAGCUCCAAGCACAGCCCUGGCAGACAUUAGGCUCUCCGUUUGUGGAAGGAAUGAAUAUUUCUGUUAUUUCAAAUCUUCAUUUGUUGAUCAAAUUUGCUCUAAUGUUUAUUUUCCCUUGAUUUCAUCUGUGUCUAAAGAUUCUGUUAACUUUUCAUCUUGAAGUACUUUCAGACUUAAAGAAAGUUGUAAAAAUAGUACCAAAAAAUCCACACACUCUUCAACCCAAUUCCCUUGUGUUAACAUUUUAUAUAAUCAUAGUACAACGACUCGAACCAGGAAAUAAACGUUGAUAUAAUGCAGUUAACUGUUCUACAGAUUUUAUUCAAAUUUUGUUAGUUGUCCUAUUAAUGACCUUUUUCUGAAGCAGGAU
rnacentral:lncRNA from 1 species